GACGUAGGGCGCGAGCGUUGUCCGGAUUUAUUGGGCGUAAAGAGCUCGUAGGCGGUCUGUCGCGUCUGCUGUGAAAACUCAGGGCUUAACCCUGAGCUUGCAGUGGGUACGGGCAGACUAGAGUGCGGUAGGGGAGACUGGAAUUCCUGGUGUAGCGGCGAAAUGCGCAGAUAUCAGGAGGAACACCGGUGGCGAAGGCGGGUCUCUGGGCCGUAACUGACGCUGAGGAGCGAAAGCAUGGGGAGCGAACAGG
rnacentral:rRNA from 1 species